UACGUAGGGGGCAAGCGUUGUCCGGAUUUAUUGGGCGUAAAGAGCGUGUAGGCGGCCAGGUAGGUCUGCUGUGAAAACUCGAGGCUCAACUUCGAGCUGUCGGUGGAAACUAUUUGGCUAGAGUCCGGAAGAGGAGAGUGGAAUUCCAGGUGUAGCGGUGAAAUGCGUAGAUAUCUGGAGGAACACCGGUGGCGAAGGCGGCAUCCUGGACCGGCAUUGACGCUGAGGCGCGAAAGCUAGGGGAGCAAACGGG
rnacentral:rRNA from 1 species